rnacentral:rRNA from 1 species
UUCCGGUUGAUCCUGCCGGAGGCCAUUGCUAUCGGAAUCCGAUUUAGCCAUGCGAGUUGCACGAAUUCAUAUUCGUAGCGAACUGCUCAGUAACACGCGGCCAAUCUGCCCUAUGGACACGGAUAAUCUCGGGAAACUGAGGCUAAUCCGUGAUAGCGCUCCCAUGUUUGAACACAGGGAGCGUGAAACGCUCCGGCGCCAUAGGAUGAGGCUGCGGCCGAUUAGGUAGACGGUGGGGUAACGGCCCACCGUGCCGAUAAUCGGUACGGGUCAUGAGAGUGAGAGCCCGGAGACGGACUCUGAGACAAGAGUCCGGGCCCUACGGGGCGCAGCAGGCGCGAAACCUUUACACUGCACGACAGUGCGAUAGGGGGAUUCCGAGUGCGAGGGCAUACAGUCCUCGCUUUUGUGUACCGUAAGGUGGUACACGAAUAAGGGCUGGGCAAGACCGGUGCCAGCCGCCGCGGUAAUACCGGCAGCUCAAGUGAUGGCCGAUAUUAUUGGGCCUAAAGCGUCCGUAGCCGGCCGGGCAGGUCCGUCGGGAAAUCCACUCGCCUAACGAGUGGGCGUCCGGCGGAAACCGUUCGGCUUGGGACCGAGAGACCAGAGGGGUACGUCCGGGGUAGGAGUGAAAUCCUGUAAUCCUGGACGGACCACCGGUGGCGAAAGCGCCUCUGGAGAGCGGAUCCGACGGUGAGGGACGAAAGCUAGGGUCUCGAACCGGAUUAGAUACCCGGGUAGUCCUAGCUGUAAACGAUGCUCGCUAGGUGUGGCGCAGGCUACGAGCCUGCGCUGUGCCGUAGGGAAGCCGUGAAGCGAGCCGCCUGGGAAGUACGUCCGCAUGGAUGAAACUUAAAGGAAUUGGCGGGGGAGCACUACAACCGGAGGAGCCUGCGGUUUAAUUGGAAUCAACGCCGGU